rnacentral:lncRNA from 1 species
UUUGCUAUAGGGCAGAAAGUGACAACACUGUAAAUCAACUACAAAAAAAAUUUUUUUUUAGGAAAAAAAAAACUUACUAUCUUUUAAAAUCUGCAUUUAAUGUGUUAAGUAUGACUCCCUAUUUCAUGGAGGAGAAACCUGCCCAGGGAGCAAGUGGCAGAGCUGGGAUUCCAACCAGCCUGACUUCUAAACCCAGGCUGUAAUUCAGAAAUGCAGCAGGAUCACCUCUCAGCACAAUAAAGCCCUAAAGAAGCCCAGAGGCCUACUGCUCCCUAGCACCCAUCAAGUGGCUCCAGAAAGGGGAAGCCAGGAUCUGAGUCCGCUGCUGUCAGAAAUGAAGAAAUCAGGGCGAAAAUGAAUGGCAGGGUGAGAGGAUGAGUGUCAUCCUGUUCUUUGCGGAAAGGCCCACAGCCUUAAAAGGUCACACCCAAGACCAGCCUUGAUCUACUCACACACUUACAGACCAGCCCACUCAGCUGAGAGAGAGUGGGAGAGGGGACAGUGGCAAAGUGACACACGUCUGCAGUUAAAUCAGCCAGAGGGGCAGUUCUUCAGCCCCAAGAACCACCUGACUGGCAGCUGAGACAUCUGGGUUCCGUUCCAAAUUCUCUGGAAGUUUGAGCAAGUCAUUUCUCCUCUCUGGGCAUCACACAUUCACGGCUAAACUGGGGGUGCUGUGUGUGUGUAUACUUAAGUAUUCAUUCUGCUCUAACAUUCUUAGACUCCAGGACUCUAAAUGAAUGACAACGAGCUAGCUGAUGAAAAUGGCUACUGCACAAACAGCCCGAUGCUUUAGACCAACGAUCAAGAAACCAAGAGAAGGACAAGAAAUCUGUGAAAGUGGCUACAUCCAUGAAGAUGCCCUGACCAACAGGAAGCUACUGUGCAUCUUUCAACAGGAUGCGGAAGAUAGAUGAAAAUCCAAGACAACAGGCAAGCAGGACAGGCCCUUCUUUCUGGGGGUCAGGCAUCAUUUCUGUGUCCAGAGAGAAGUCAUGGCUUAAACAUUGCUUGAGUCACUCUCUCCAGCCUUCUCCAUCCCAUUUCCCUUCCUAGCUAGGCCACCAAAAGCUCGGGCUGGGUCAGCUCUAACAGUCUACAAAACCUCGUCCCCCUUCAUUUAUGCUUGCCCUCUCCAAUCCACCCCACACCCUGCAAAGCGGUCCCUCUAGAAGGCAAAUCGGGGUGUGCCAGUCUCCCCUAAAGCCUUUCUGUUGCUCUCAGGACAAAGCCCUGCUGUCUCCCCAGCACCAUCACCAUCCUCUCUGCCCAACAAGCUCCUGAUGUAACAACCAGUUUCUCAAAAGAGGUGGGUUCCCCCCACUUCUGAUCUCCAGGUCCCCGCAGAGGCGUCACUUCCUCUGGAAAUUCUCCUGUGACCCCUCUGUGGACUGGGUGGGUCCUGCCCUGGACUCCAGGAAGCCCUGCCCCUUCCUCAUCACAGCACUUACAGCGGAUUCACUGUAAAUUCCUGUUUUCUGGUCCAUCCCUCCCCACCAGACUAUAAGUGUUUUUUGUUUGUUUUUGGCCACCCGGAGGCACUUGGAAGUUCCCAGGGCCAGGGAUCAGAUCUUAACUCACUGUGCCAGGUGGGGAUGGAACCUGUAUUCUAGUGCUGCAGAGACUGCUGAUCCCACUGCACCACAGCGGGAACUCCCAGACUAUAGGCGUUAAGGAGGCAGAAACUACAUCUGUCUUGUAGCCAGCUGUAUUCCAGCACCUAGCAGAGUGCCUGGCACACAGUAUGAAUUUUUAUAAACAAAUAAAAGUCUUUGGGAGUUCCUGUCGUGGCACAGAGGAAACGAAUCUGACUAGGAACCCCACGACGGGAACUCCUCCUCCUUCUUUUUAAAAGAGGCAUGUCCAGACAGGGCACUGCUGGAACAAUGAUGUAUGGUCUGGUUACGCGCACUAUUUCCACAGACGCUGCUGGCACCCCUCGUAAAUUGUGACAAGAUAGAAAGGCAGACCACUGGUUACCCUUCAAGAGUGGGGGAAAAUGCACAAUGUAGGAUUUAAAGAGAAAGUACUAAGAGAUGGACUAUUGCAGCAAUUUCCUAGCGCAGAGCUGAAGUUCAAGAGCAGCAGGAACAAUUGCAGCAGCAGCGACAGAGGAGGAGAACACAGUCCCGUCAAAAAAGACAUUUAAAACCACUACAUUUCAGGACCAGAAAUAAUGCGCUUCAAAGAAACACACAGCAUAAAUAGCUUUUACACAAAUCUUUGCCAGGGGAACAGAAAGCCACCAAAGGACAGGGUGGAUUGUGAAAUGAGCCACAUACGCAGGAGACGGAAGUUAAUUAAAGGAAGAGCCAGGCAGUUCCUUGAAAAACAAUUUAGCCAAAACAAAGACUGAAAAACAAACACGCUGUAACACAUACAGUGUCUUGGCCAAACAAAAAGAAAGAAACACUCACACAUACACAAACACUGCAGUCCAUACAAAAGGGGUACAAGUUCCCAGAAUUUCCCAGAGAGCAGGCCAUGCAAACAGGCAAACAACAGAUGUGGCUUCAGUCUUAAUUAAAUGCGGGAGUUGAAAAUCAAGCCAAGCUAGGACAUCUAAAUAAACUCCUCCCAUCAUGUUUCUCCUUUCAAAGGAAAGGAUACAAUUCUUACAUUAUUUUCUACUUUUAACGACUUAAUUUUAAUUUUUUGUUUUGUUUUCAGAAGGUCAGACUCCAUCCUAUGUAGCAGGUAUACAACACUGCAGAAGCUCCCAGUUUCAGCACCACCUUUCAACCACCUGGGAGCCUUAAACUCCUGCCACCCAGACCCCUCCCCCGGAGUUUCUGAUUUAAUUGACGUAGGGUUUUCAAUAGUUCCCAGCAGGAUUCUCAUAUGCAGAUGAGGCGGAGAACCAUAGUCAUUUCUCAGUCAGGCAGGGCAGGUUCUCGGUUUCUGGAACAGAUAAUGAAGCUGGGGAAACUCAAACUGGACUGUUCUAUCAGAAAGCCUCACUAUAAUUUCUAAAAGGACAGCAUUUCCCCCCCUGCUCUUCCAUCCUCCUUCUUAAUGACUGGAUUCUUCAAAAAAAAGCCUACCCCUCAGUCGGCCCCUCCGGCCGAGCCAGGGGAGAGGCGCACGUCCACUCCUUCACCUCCUGCCUGGUCUAGGAUUCAGCAGAAGUGCAUCUGUCAGGGUGGUAAUUAAUCUCUAGGAAGGGGGCUGCCUGCACUUAAGGCAGGGGCCCUCCCUCCUUGCCGUUCUGUGUCUGAAAGGCCGCAGUGCCAUCGCUAAAUCAAAACGCUGCCUGACAAAACCCUAACGGGGCUUCUAAGUGGAGAAAGUCAUUCCCUAUGAUGCAUCUAAGGCGACAAUGCCAAAAAGCCCAUUAGUUCAGAUGAGUGUACAGGGAACCAGCAUAAACACAGGACAUGACAAGAAAGUCACUCACAUCUUAUCCAGACGCUCCUAAUGAUAAGUGGCUCACAUAACUAAUGAGGCCACCUCCCUCCACCUCCUGACUGUGGAGUGACAGGCACCAGGGCUUACGUUUGGUGAAAGCCUCAUUCUUUCAAUAUGUAUUCUCAACAGGGCGGCUUCCUUCAUCCACCCACAGAAAACGGUGUGUUCUGCACAACAGAGUCGACUCUAAUCCACAUACGCUGCCGCUCCUUUCCUGUGAUCUAUUAGCAUUUUAUACACAUUUUUGUUAUUAGACAGAAGUGAAGUGGAAGUUGCAUUUUAGAAUAAUUCUCUACGAAAGCAAGGACCUUAGUCUACCAUGUUCAUCGCUACAGCCUGAGCUCCUACAAGUGCCCAGCAUACAGACGGCACUUAAUAUAAGUUGAAUGAAAGAAAAAGCAUCUGCUAGGAGUUCCUGUUGUGGCCCAACUAGCAUCCAUGAGGAUGUGGGCUGAGCCCUGGCCUAGCUCAGUCGGGUCUGGGGGAUCUGGCACUGCCAUGAGCUAUGGAUCCCUGCGUUGCUGUGAGGUAGGUUGCAGACGAAGCUGGGAUCCCGUGUUGCUGUGGCUGGGGUGUAGGCCGGCAGCUGUAGCUAUGAUUCGACCCCUAGCCUGGGAACUUCCACAUGCUGCAGGCGUGGCCCUAAAAAAGCAAAAAAAAAAAAAAAAAA